UACGUAGGGUGCGAGCGUUGUCCGGAAUUACUGGGCGUAAAGAGCUCGUAGGUGGUUUGUCGCGUUGUUCGUGAAAACCGGGGGCUUAACCCUCGGCGUGCGGGCGAUACGGGCAGACUGGAGUACUGCAGGGGAGACUGGAAUUCCUGGUGUAGCGGUGGAAUGCGCAGAUAUCAGGAGGAACACCGGUGGCGAAGGCGGGUCUCUGGGCAGUAACUGACGCUGAGGAGCGAAAGCAUGGGGGGCGAACAGG
rnacentral:rRNA from 1 species